rnacentral:rRNA from 1 species
GCCACGCCCGCUCAGAAACUUAAAGGAAUUAGACGGGGGCCCGGCACAAGCGGAGGAGCAUGUGGUUUAAUUUCGAUGAUACGCGAGGAACCGUUACCUGGGCUCGAACGUAAGAUGACUGUAGGUGAAAGCUUACAUCUCUUCGGAGCAUUUUACGAGGUGCUGCAUGGUUGUCGUCAGCUCGUGCCGUGAGGUGUCGGGUUAAGUCCCAUAACGAGCGCAACCCCUACCUUUAGUUGCCAUCAGGUUAAGCUGGGGACUCUAAAGGAACUGCCUACGCAAGUAGUGAGGAAGGCGGGGAUGACGUCAAAUCAGCACGGCCCUUACGUCCAGGGCUACACACGUGCUACAAUGGCCGAUACAGAGGGCAGCUACCUGGUGACAGGAUGCAAAUCUCCAAAGUCGGUCUCAGUUCGGAUCGGGGUCUGCAACCCGACUCCGUGAAGUUGGAUUCGCUAGUAAUCGCGCAUCAGCCAUGGCGCGGUGAAUACGUUCCCGGGCCUU